GACAGAGGAUGCAAGCGUUAUCCGGAAUGAUUGGGCGUAAAGCGUCUGUAGGUGGCUUUUUAAGUCCGCCGUCAAAUCCCAGGGCUCAACCCUGGACAGGCGGUGGAAACUACCAAGCUGGAGUACGGUAGGGGCAGAGGGAAUUUCCGGUGGAGCGGUGAAAUGCGCAGAUAUCAGGAGGAACACCAAUGGCGAAGGCAGCUCGCUGGGACGGUACUGACGCUGAGACGCGAAAGCGUGGGAGCAAACAGG
rnacentral:rRNA from 1 species